rnacentral:tRNA from 1 species
GGGGAUGUAGCUCAGUGGCCAAGCAUCCACUUUGCAUGGGGGAGCUCCUGGAUUCCAUCCCUGGCAUCUCCA